AGUGAUAGACACUCCUAUCUAGAAAAGAGAUUUAAUUUCUCACAAAGGAGGGAGUGAGGCAGAGGAGGAGAGGAGGGAGGCAGGUCCCUGUUGGUGAUCAAAGUCUUCUAGUUUCUGUUAUGUCUGACAGUCAAAGCAGGGCCCAGACAGGUUCCUGAAGACAUCCCAGGCUCUCCAAGUCACAGUCUCAGCUGCCCUGAGAGAGGCACGCUUCAGUUUGGCAUUGGGUUCACGGGGCAGCAGUUUGAAAAUAUGCUCUGUGGGAAAGAGCACCACAUUGCAUCCAGUCCAGAGCCUGCUGAAGGGGUAAAAGCUGGGGAGAGUGUGGAUAAAAAGCAAAGCCUUGGAAGUCAGAUAAUCUGAUUUUCCUGAAGCUGGCCAACAACAGAGGAACAUUGUAGACACUUGGAGUAGCAUCUGGCUUGGCCGUCCGUCCUGCUGUGUCCCUUCCCUUCCCUAGGACAGCAACUUGUUCUUUCAGGAACAAGAGGAUGUUUGUGGUGCCAGCUGUGGCUGUAGGGAAAGUAUUCAGUGUAGCUUAAUGAGCUGCAAUUAGUGAUGUGCUAGCCUUUUUUUUAUCCUGUUUGCUCAUAUUUCUUCACCUUUAUAAACUGGUAUUCCCUAAUGCUUCCUCAGUAGGAAAUGCAAACAAAAUCAAAAACACAUUUCAUUUUUCUCCAUUGUUACAAAAAACAAUAGAUGGAGCUGAAACCUGCAGGAAGUAUGCCUUAUCAUCCAUAGCCAUGGGCUCGUUAAAGACUCAGCCUCUCACAUUUGAGGUAUGUUUGUAAGAACAGAAGUUGCAAACAGAUAACUACAUAUGUUAAUAAAAGCUAAGGCAGCCACUCAUAUCUGUGUGUGAAAGGUCAAUAAUGUCCCCACAUCUGAGGCAAAGCAGGAGAAAUAUGUAGGAUAUAAAAUCCAGGACAAAUUAGUUCAUGCUUUGGGAACUGGGGCAACACAAAAUAUUUUUGCUCUUGUGGAAGCUUACAUGUGCUCAGAAAUCUAGCUGCCACUGCAAGUUCAAAAAUCAAAAUCCUUAAAUUUCCAUCAAGGCCUUAAAUUAAGGUUCAAGAUACUUCAACAAUAGAUGUGGAAAAAGAAAUCAAACCCAAGAAAAGUUUAUUUAUGAUCUUAGCUUUUUCAUAAAGCCAUAGUGCCCAACUACAUAGGAAACCAAGAAUUUCUUGAUUAUUUUCUUUUUUGCUUUUCCCAUUUGGCUUCUAGAUGCUUCUUAGGAGUUUGUUCAGUGCUGAUUUUGUCAAUGGGAACCAAAGAAAAUGCUGCUGCGGAUGUUUUUGGACUGAAUUUUUGCUCCCAGUAAGCCAAACAGGCUUGUUUGUCUGCCACUGGAUCCAGCAUCCCCAAAAGUGUCCAGGUCAUGUAAGAGAAGAAUGGCUCAUUGUGCGUCAGCAGGUUAGCCACCUUAACUGGCGUAGCUAUUGCUGCUUCCCAUGUCUCCAUUAGAGCUACAAAAAUAUGUUAAACAAGCCAAGUGACCUCAGCCAUUCCUCACACAGCCUCCCCUCAAGGCCCUUCACCAUUUUCAUUGCCCUCCCUUAGACACUUUAUAAUGGCUUUAUACCUUUCUUAUAUUGUAGUGCCCAAUAGUUUGCUAAGGACACCUGUGUUUAUGGCUUCAGGAGCUCAGCUUCAUGGCAGAAGCCACCAGGAAGCACCAUCACCUGUCUUCUCUCAUGCUGGCCCAAGACUCCCUCUACAUCUCAGUAACCUUUUAGCAGAAGGAGCUGUGGCAAGUGGAAAUUAGAAUUUCUGAGGUGACAAGUGGGUCCUCUUCAGAGGAUGGAUGAAAAAAGUGAAAAUCCACAUAAUGCACAGGGAGGAAACCCAUGGAGGGAUGGAGGGUCUUUUCCUCCCCAUCGCAUGGGGAUGGUGCUUUUCCAUCUCCAAAUUCCUCUCACCUCUCUCCUCCAGUUUCUGUUUUGGCAAACUGUGGGGUGAGAAGCAGCAAGCAGUGAGCCCUACAUACCUUCACAGGGGUAAUGGGAAUCACAGGAAAAUGAGCAGCUGGGUGGUGUAAGAGCAAAGGUUGCCUUUAGGCUGAUUGCCCAUCUCUGAAUGAUACCUAUGCCCAUCUUUAGAAUGACACCUCAAGCACAGAGCAAGGCAGGUGCCACAAAACUAUUCCCAGCAUUCCCAGCACAGUGUUAGCAUGUGCUUCCCCACCAGAGAAAGAAAGAAAGAAUACCUUGACUGUGCUAAAAACAUACAUUAAAGGAAAUAUUCAAUUGGUGGAACAGCUAUUCAGAGUGCCUAAGAGAACACACUCUUGUGAUACAUAAUGUACCAAUACCUAAAUUACUAUUACAGGUAGAAGACAUAUUAAAUACUACAUAAAAUAAUUAUUAAAAUAUUUAUAGAUGAAAAUGUAUAUUCUUUUCUGAGAUGAAAAUGAAGAAGUGAAAAGAUUUCUGGUCCGUAAAGGCAUUUGUUCCUUAAAGAAUAUAGAAUAUAUAAAUUUUAAAAAGAAAUAAAAUAAUGGGUUUCUUCUUCUUUAAUCAUUUGGCUUUCUUCUGUAAAAAAAAAAAAAAAAAAA
ensembl:lncRNA